GACGAACGCUGGCGGCAUGCCUAAUACAUGCAAGUCGAACGCUGAAGCACUCUGCUUGCAGAGUGCGGAUGAGUGGCGAACGGGUGAGUAACACGUGGGAAAUCUGCCUAUAAGAGGGGGAUAACAUUCGGAAACGGAUGCUAAUACCGCAUAUAUUCUUGGACCGCCUGGUCCUUGAAAGAAAGACGGCUUUGCUGUCGCUUAUAGAUGAUCCCGCGGCGUAUUAGUUAGUUGGUGGGGUAAAGGCCUACCAAGACAAUGAUACGUAGCCGACCUGAGAGGGUGAUCGGCCACACUGGGACUGAGACACGGCCCAGACUCCUACGGGAGGCAGCAGUAGGGAAUCUUCCACAAUGGGCGAAAGCCUGAUGGAGCAAUGUCGCGUGAAUGAAGAAGGUCUUCGGAUCGUAAAGUUCUGUUAUUAGAGAAGAACAAGUCAAGGAGUAACUGUCUUGACUUUGACGGUACCUAACCAGAAAGACACGGCUAACUACGUG
rnacentral:rRNA from 1 species